rnacentral:rRNA from 1 species
UACGUAGGGUGCAAGCGUUGUCCGGAAUUAUUGGGCGUAAAGAGCUCGUAGGCGGUUUGUCGCGUCUGCUGUGAAAACUCGGGGCUUAACUCCGGGCCUGCAGUGGGUACGGGCAGACUAGAGUGCGGUAGGGGAGACUGGAAUUCCUGGUGUAGCGGUGAAAUGCGCAGAUAUCAGGAGGAACACCGGUGGCGAAGGCGGCCUGCUGGGCUGUUGCUGACGCUGAGGCGCGACAGCGUGGGGAGCAAACAGG